CAUUGUCCAACAAGAAAUGUACCCUUCCCUUGACAUAUGUAACUAUAACCCCUCUAUACAAGACCUUUGUAAUAACAGUAAAAAAUUCAAACAUUUUCA